UUCUCCUCCAGUGCGCUCAACAUCAGUCUCUCCUCCACAAACUCCUCCAGCAGCGUCUCUCUCUGUCCCUGCAGUGCGUGUGAUUGUUCUGGGAGUUUUGCUCUUACUGCUCUUAGGGCCACUGCUUAUAUUGAUUCAGCAGAACAGAGUGAUGAGGAGAGCUCUCUCUAAGAGGAAACACAGGAUGAUGACUGAGGCCGUUUAUGAGGAGAUUCAGCAAAGACCCACUAAUAGACACAGUCUCCUCACUCAAAGGGGAAGUGUCCUUUCUAAAGAACAGCAUUCUGGGUAUGAAGAUGUUGAUAAACUUAUUACAG